rnacentral:tRNA from 2 species
GCGUUGUUGGUUUAGUGGUAAAAUUCUCCGUUGCCAUCGGGGAGCCCUGGGUUCGAUUCCCAGACAACGCA